GCCGCGUGAGUGAUGAAGGUCUUCGGAUCGUAAAACUCUGUUAUUAGGGAAGAACAUAUGUGUAAGUAACUGUGCACAUCUUGACGGUACCUAAUCAGAAAGCCACGGCUAACUACGUGCCAGCAGCCGCGGUAAUACGUAGGUGGCAAGCGUUAUCCGGAAUUAUUGGGCGUAAAGCGCGCGUAGGCGGUUUUUUAAGUCUGAUGUGAAAGCCCACGGCUCAACCGUGGAGGGUCAUUGGAAACUGGAAAACUUGAGUGCAGAAGAGGAAAGUGGAAUUCCAUGUGUAGCGGUGAAAUGCGCAGAGAUAUGGAGGAACACCAGUGGCGAAGGCGACUUUCUGGUCUGUAACUGACGCUGAUGUGCGAAAGCGUGGGGAUCAAACAGGAUUAGAUACCCUGGUAGUCCACGCCGUAAACGAUGAGUGCUAAGUGUUAGGGGGUUUCCGCCCCUUAGUGCUGCAGCUAACGCAUUAAG
rnacentral:rRNA from 1 species